rnacentral:lncRNA from 1 species
AAACUUUUCAUAACCUUUAGCUAUUAGGUUUGAGUUAUCCUUGAGGUAAAUGUAAUACUCACCUAUAUCCUUAGUGAUGGACAAUGAGUCUUCCAUGCUUAUUAUAGGGUUAACCCCUCACUAGCAUGUUGAAGCUAUCCUCACAUGGUGGAUUUGUGGUUUUAGGUUGAGUUUUCUCCCUUGGAUAACAAAAGACCUUAAGGCUUUUGGACCAAU